rnacentral:rRNA from 1 species
UAACUGAAGAGUUUGAUCAUGGCUCAGAUUGAACGCUGGCGGCAGGCUUAACACAUGCAAGUCGAGCGGGGGAAGGUAGCUUGCUACCGGACCUAGCGGCGGACGGGUGAGUAAUGCUUAGGAAUCUGCCUAUUAGUGGGGGACAACAUCUCGAAAGGGAUGCUAAUACCGCAUACGUCCUACGGGAGAAAGCAGGGGAUCUUCGGACCUUGCGCUAAUAGAUGAGCCUAAGUCGGAUUAGCUAGUUGGUGGGGUAAAGGCCUACCAAGGCGACGAUCUGUAGCGGGUCUGAGAGGAUGAU